rnacentral:misc_RNA from 1 species
AUUGGAGUGUUCUUGUCGGAGAUUUAAGAGGGGAAGUGUGAAAUAAAUAUUUCCUAUUGGUUUCUUCAAACUUAAGAUAAUUAAAAUGAAUGAUUCUCCUCUUCUAUUUCAAGAUGGAGAGAACAGUUGAGGAUUGGCCUUUAUUGUCUCAGAAGCACUAACUUUGGUACUUUCAUCUCCUAUGAAUGCGCAUUUACAAACAAAAAUCGUGCAUUUAUU